UACGUAGGGUGCAAGCGUUAAUCGGAAUUACUGGGCGUAAAGCGUGCGCAGGCGGUUAUGUAAGACAGUUGUGAAAUCCCCGGGCUCAACCCGGGAACGGCGUUUGAAACUGGCAGGCUAGAGUUUGGCAGAGGGGGGUGGAAUUCCACGUGUAGCAGUGAAAUGCGUAGAGAUGUGGAGGAACACCGAUGGCGAAGGCAGCCCCCUGGGCCAACACUGACGCUCAUGCACGAAAGCGUGGGGAGCAAACAGG
rnacentral:rRNA from 1 species